AUUGAACGCUGGCGGCAGGCUUAACACAUGCAAGUCGAGCGGUAGCACAGGGGAGCUUGCUCCCUGGGUGACGAGCGGCGGACGGGUGAGUAAUGUCUGGGAAACUGCCUGAUGGAGGGGGAUAACUACUGGAAACGGUAGCUAAUACCGCAUAACGUCGCAAGACCAAAGAGGGGGACCUUCGGGCCUCUUGCCAUCAGAUGUGCCCAGAUGGGAUUAGCUAGUAGGUGGGGUAAUGGCUCACCUAGGCGACGAUCCCUAGCUGGUCUGAGAGGAUGACCAGCCACACUGGAACUGAGACACGGUCCAGACUCCUACGGGAGGCAGCAGUGGGGAAUAUUGCACAAUGGGCGCAAGCCUGAUGCAGCCAUGCCGCGUGUGUGAAGAAGGCCUUCGGGUUGUAAAGCACUUUCAGCGAGGAGGAAGGUGGUGAGCUUAAUACGCUCAUCAAUUGACGUUACUCGCAGAAGAAGCACCGGCUAACUCCGUGCCGGCAGCCGCGGUAAUACGGAGGGUGCAAGCGUUAAUCGGAAUUACUGGGCGUAAAGCGCACGCAGGCGGUUUGUUAAGUCAGAUGUGAAAUCCCCGGGCUCAACCUGGGAACUGCAUUUGAAACUGGCAAGCUAGAGUCUCGUAGAGGGGGGUAGAAUUCCAGGUGUAGCGGUGAAAUGCGUAGAGAUCUGGAGGAAUACCGGUGGCGAAGGCGGCCCCCUGGACGAAGACUGACGCUCAGUGCGAAAGCGUGGGGAGCAAACAAG
rnacentral:rRNA from 1 species